rnacentral:rRNA from 1 species
CCUACGGGAGACAGCAGUGAGGAAUAUUGGUCAAUGGGCGGAAGCCUGAACCAGCCAAGUCGCGUGAGGGAUUAAGGCCCUGCGGGUCGUAAACCUCUUUUGCCGGGGAGCAGUGGUCCGGACGCGUCCGGACCGGGAGAGUACCCGGAGAAAAAGCAUCGGCUAACUCCUGGCCAGCAGCCGCGGUAAUACGGGGGAUGCGAGCGUUAUCCGGAUUUAUUGGGUUAAAAGGGUGCCUAUGCGGGCAUUUAAGCAGGCGGGCAAAUGUCGGGGUUCAACCCCGGCCUGCCGUUGGAACUGGGUGCCUUGAGUGGGCGAGAAGUAUGCGGAAUGCGUGGUGUAGCGGUGAAAUGCAUAGAUAUCACGCAGAACCCCGAGUGCGAAGGCAGCAUACCGGCGCCCUACUGACGCUGAGGCACGAAAGUGCGGGUAUCGAACAGGAUUAGAUACCCUGGUAGUC